UCAUCCUGACACUCCCACUGCCGCUGCCUGCCUACUAGCUGAUCCAGAGCUAUCACGUGUUCACCUGGAACUUUACUCCAAGAUGAUUUGGUGGGAAUCAGGUACUUUCCCCUGCUUCAUAACUGAGUGUCAGAAAUAGUAAAAUUGAAUCUUGAUCAGACUGUCUUGGUUACAUCUAUCUCUCUCGUGCCGCCUAGCCCCCCCCCUUCUCUUCCAGGUUUCCAAGAUGCCUUUCCAGACUAGAACCCAGACGUGUGAACCGCUGGCCAGACACAACACUCUUCAAGUUAUGCAGGAGGCAGAGAGGAUUCAUCAGACUAAUUCUCCUGCUGCGACUGACAGAUCGGCCUGAGCUACAAUAGGGAGAAGAAUUAAAUGUAAAAACUCAAUAUUGUGGACCAGAGAUGGUGGUGAAUGCCUGCAAUCCUAGCACCUAGGAGACAGCCUUGCCUAGGG
rnacentral:lncRNA from 1 species